CCUACGGGUGGCAGCAGUGGGGGAUAUUGCACAAUGGGGGAAACCCUGAUGCAGCGACGCCGCGUGGGUGAAGAAGUAUUUCGGUAUGUAAAGCCCUAUCAGCAGGGAAGAAAGAAGACGGUACCUGACUAAGAAGCCCCGGUUAACUACGUGCCAGCAGCCGCGGUAAUACGUAGGGGGCGAGCGUUAUCCGGAUUCACUGGGUGUAAAGGGAGCGUAGACGGCCGUGCAAGCCAGGAGUGAAAGCCCGGGGCCCAACCCCGGGACUGCUCUUGGAACUGUGCGGCUGGAGUGCGGGAGGGGCAGGCGGAAUUCCUGGUGUAGCGGUGAAAUGCGUAGAUAUCAGGAGGAACACCGGCGGCGAAGGCGGCCUGCUGGACCGCGACUGACGUUGAGGCUCGAAAGCGUGGGGAGCGAACAGGAUUAGAUACCCUGGUAGUC
rnacentral:rRNA from 1 species